GGAUGAGGAAAGGUCUCCUCUUGUUGAUACACUGGGAUUGGGGAAUGGGAGGGAGCAGGUAAGAAGGGAUGCUUCUGAAAAUCCCAUGGUUGCCAUUAGAGGUAUAAAACUUGGUCUUGGAGAUUUUAUUUUCUACAGUGUUCUUGUGGGCAGGGCUGCAAUGUAUGAUCUUAUGACAGUAUAUGCAUGCUACCUUGCAAU
rnacentral:misc_RNA from 1 species